rnacentral:tRNA from 1 species
GGGCGUGUAGCUCAGCUGGUUAGAGCGCAUUCCUGAUAAGAAUGAGGCCCGAGGUUCGAGUCCUCGCACGCCCA